CGUGCAUAACACAUUCAAGUCGAACGGAGUUUGUUGAAUUAAUCCUUCGGGAAGCGUUUAAUGAACUUAGUGGCGGACGGGUGAGUAACGCGUGAGCAACCUGCCUCUGUAUGAGGGAUAACGACUGGAAACGGUCGCUAAUACCUCAUAACACACAGACCUCGCAUGGGGACUGUGUCAAAGAUUUAUUGUACAGAGAUGGGCUCGCGUCUGAUUAGAUAGUUGGUGAGGUAACGGCUCACCAAGUCGACGAUCAGUAGCCGGACUGAGAGGUGGAACGGCCACAGUGGAACUGAGAUACGGUCCAGACUCCUACGGGGGGCAGCAGUGGGGAAUAUUGGGCAAUGGGCGAAAGCCUGACCCAGCGACGCCGCGUGAGGGAAGAAGGUCUUCGGAUUGUAAACCUUUGUUGAUAGGGACGAACAGAUGACGGUACCUAUCGAGGAAGCCACGGCUAACUACGUGCCAGCAGCCGCAGUAACAC
rnacentral:rRNA from 1 species